UAAGAGUUCAGCGCGUGUUAAUGCUUCAAGGUACACUCUCUUUGUAUCUGGCAAGUGUUCGGACGAAUGCCUUCCCCCGAAUGCAGAUAGCCUGCUUUUGCACAUUAAGAGAGCCAACUACCAAGCAGCCAUCUGGAAGAAUAGUUUGCAAUCGCACAUUAAUGUUCAACCUCCUGUGAGCCAUGGAUGGCACAUUAAAAAUGGUCAGUUAGAGAUUCUUUGGAUGACUGGACCUUCUGCUCCAGAUACACUUAUUGAGUGCGUGACAUGCAAGUGUAAAGCUGGUUGCAAGAAUCUUCGAUGCUCGUGCGUGAGGUCUGGUUUGCAAUGUACUGACAUUUGCGGUUGUUCUGACUGCAGUAACUACGCCUCUAAAGAUGACGGCCCAAUAAAAGAGCCGGAUGAGUGCGAUGAUAGCGAUUACGAUGAUGCCGACGAUACACAUGAAAACUUCAUAAACGAUUUCAAUGAAAUGUUCUAUUAAGAAUGCACUGCUCAGCAGUGUGUACAUCAGGAACUAGAUGGCGACCAAAGGAUUCUGAGUACGCAAUCUCAUGUGCCAAUUUAUUAUCGUUAUAUUAUUUACACAAUAAGAUGAAGGACUCCUUCACAAUUCAAUUUCAAGAAUUGUUUUUUCAUUUUUUAGUCUUUUUGUCCAUCAACCAGCUAUGGAAGAUUAAUAGCUAAACAUAUCAUUUCAAAUUAACUUAGAAGGAUUGAUCCCUAAUCAUUAUUUAGCACCGUUUUUUGAAUAUGAGCCAGCAAUUUUAGUGAAUUUCACACAAAAACAAUAUGGCGGAUAUAGUAAAUAAAUGUCGAAAUUUUGAUGGCUCUAGCUCUCUUGAUUGCAAGUUUUCGGGAUGUAAACAGGCAGAUUUAUGUUAAGUGAGUACAUAUCAGUACAUCUA